GAUGAACGCUGGCGGCGUGCCUAAUACAUGCAAGUCGAGCGAACGGACGAGAAGCUUGCUUCUCUGAUGUUAGCGGCGGACGGGUAAGUAACACGUGGAUAACCUACCUAUAAGACUGGGAUAACUUCGGGAAACCGGAGCUAAUACCGGAUAAUAUUUUGAACCGCAUGGUUCAAAAGUGAAAGACGGUCUUGCUGUCACUUAUAGAUGGAUCCGCGCUGCAUUAGCUAGUUGGUAAGGUAACGGCUUACCAAGGCAACGAUGCAUAGCCGACCUGAGAGGGUGAUCGGCCACACUGGAACUGAGACACGGUCCAGACUCCUACGGGAGGCAGCAGUAGGGAAUCUUCCGCAAUGGGCGAAAGCCUGACGGAGCAACGCCGCGUGAGUGAUGAAGGUCUUCGGAUCGUAAAACUCUGUUAUUAGGGAAGAACAUUUGUGUAAGUAACUGUGCACAUCUUGACGGUACCUAAUCAGAAAGCCACGGCUAACUACGUG
rnacentral:rRNA from 1 species